GUCAGCACCUGGUGGCGGAGCCG
rnacentral:piRNA from 1 species